AAAACACUGGUUCCUAUACGAUCAGCGAAGUUAAGCAACAUCGAACCUGGUUAGUACUUAGAUGGUUGACCGCUUGGAAAUAGCAGAUGCUGUU